ACAAUAUUCAUAAUUACAAGUGGGUUUAAUAUGUCAUGGAAGGCAUACUAGAGGCAGAUGACAAGCUAAAGUGUGAUGUCACGAGGAAGAAAUCCAUGACCAACAUAACCGGGUGUUCUGUUCCUUCAGGUGUUUUGUCUUCAUAGCCUUAACCUGGGUGAAAUAACAAUGCAGCAUGGAAUUCUUUUGAGAAUCAAGGUGUUCAACAACUAGAUUAUGAGGAUCAUGAUCAUUGGUGAUUGCAGCCGAUCUAUCAGCAAUAGAUCAAAAGUUGAUUUUCGGAGCAUCCAUGGUGUACUGAGUGCAGAGUAUAUGAAUUGCCUUUUGCUUGUUGUCUACUAACAGUCAAUUAUAAUCCAAUAGCCAAGAGACACGAAUAGCAGUGUGUGUUCACACAGGGCUGCAAUGCGUGAUGGUGUUGGCCAUUCAGGGCCUGAACCAAAGGACUUCAUACUAAAGCAGUUCCCUCGAUCGUGCAAGAAUUUAUUGAGAAGUCGUGACUCGCUACUGCUGGGAGAUGCGCCUCCACACAUUCUAGGGCAAAGAGAUUUGGGCGUGACAAGAUGAAGCAGUUCAGGUCCAUGAUUUCUAUUAAACUUUUGCAAGGAACUCGAUUAAUAUGUUCUUAUGGUAAUACAAAAAUAUUAAUAUGUUAUUACAAUGUAUUUUCCAGCAGUCUCAUUGUUCAUUUAUGGAAUAAUACUAAUUGCUGUCAUUUUAUUUUUCAGGAUACCUCUAAUUAUUCUUAAUGUAAUACGUUUCAUUGCAGGGUGAUAUGUAUGAAGGAAAAGAACCAGAGCAGCGCUAGCUUGGAUAAAAGUUU